rnacentral:rRNA from 1 species
AACGAACGCUGGCGGCAUGCCUAACACAUGCAAGUCGAACGAGACCUUCGGGUCUAGUGGCGCACGGGUGCGUAACGCGUGGGAAUCUGCCCUUGGGUUCGGAAUAACAGUUGGAAACGACUGCUAAUACCGGAUGAUGACGUAAGUCCAAAGAUUUAUCGCCCAGGGAUGAGCCCGCGUAGGAUUAGCUAGUUGGUGGGGUAAAGGCCUACCAAGGCGACGAUCCUUAGCUGGUCUGAGAGGAUGAUCAGCCACACUGGGACUGAGACACGGCCCAGACUCCUACGGGAGGCAGCAGUGGGGAAUAUUGGACAAUGGGCGAAAGCCUGAUCCAGCAAUGCCGCGUGAGUGAUGAAGGCCUUAGGGUUGUAAAGCUCUUUUACCCGGGAUGAUAAUGACAGUACCGGGAGAAUAAGCCCCGGCUAACUCCAUGCCAGCCGCCGCCGUAA